UUUGAGUUUGUGUGUGAGAAGUAUUUAAGACUUAAAUAAAACAAAUAAUGUGAUUUGAAAUACAAUAUGCUUUUAACUUUUCAACCUCUCAUUCAGGCAAUUGAGAGCUACUUCUGCACUGUUCUCAAUUCUUGUGAUGCAACUGGUAAGAUCUUUCAGUUAAGUCAUUACAUCACUGGUGUCAUUUUGCGUGGCAAAAGAGAACAGAUGGCUCGACAAGGGUUGAGAAAAGUGAGUGAAAGAGUUACAAAAGUGUUUUGACUGAACAUCUACCCUAUCACAAUUGCUUGAAUUGUCAUUAACUUUGUCAUUUUUGCCACACAGGUGAACUUUGAGGAUUACAAUGGUGUAAUCACUUUUGUAAAUACUGGCAAUGUGCACUGGAAGUUUGUGUAUCUGCAUGCUAUAUCACAAACCAUUUUUGUUGUUGACCCUCAAUCUGGCACUAAUGAAAUGGAAGAAGCAAAAAAGGCGUGUUACAGAUUUGGGGAAUACUUCAAAAUGAGACAACGUCAGUAUGGAAAAGAGGACUGGGUGAAAGCCAAAUGGAAACCUGGCAAAAUCCACCACACAUUUCAAAGAGAUGGCACGAGCUGUGGUUGUUUUUGUAAUGCAGGCAAGGGUGUCUACAGAUAUUAACAUGUCAAAUUUAAGACUUUUAUUAGGAAAACUUUGACAUUCUAAGACUUUUUAUUAAGGACCCGCAGCCACCCUGGUAACUGAAUGUUGGUUUACAAAAUAUUCAUGACAAAACUGGGAACACCAAGGUCAUGGCUUAUUUUUCCACACAAAUAUGAAAACAUGUAUAACUUGAAUGCACUGUACUGUAAAUUGCUUUGGAUUAAAGUGUCUGUCAAAUGCACAUUGCACUUAUAUUUUCUCAUAGUUCAUUUUGUAUUU